GUCCACGCCGUAAACGAUGAUGACUAGGUCUUGAAGAGCAAUUUUCAGGGCCUGAGCGAAAGCGUUAAGUCAUCCACCUGGGGAGUACGUUCGCAAGUAUGAAACUCAAAGGAAUUGACGGGGGCCCGCACAAGCGGAGGAACAUGUGGUUUAAUUCGAUGAUACGCGAGGAACCUUACCCGGGUUUAAAUGUUGGUUGCAUAGAGCAGAGAUGUUCUUUUCUAGCAAUAGACUACCAGCAAGGUGCUGCAUGGUUGUCGU
rnacentral:rRNA from 1 species